UAGGUAAAUCAAAUUUCAGGCUGUUAGUGAGACCAACAGCUUGAAUUUGUUGCCUA
rnacentral:pre_miRNA from 1 species